AACGAACGCUGGCGGCAGGCUUAACACAUGCAAGUCGAACGCGUGUAGCAAUACACGAGUGGCGCACGGGUGAGUAACGCGUGGAUAUCUGCCUUUUGGUUCGGAAUAACUCCGGGAAACUGGAGCUAAUACCGGAUGGUUCCUACGGGAUAAAGAUUUAUCGCCAAAAGAUGAGUCCGCGUACGAUUAGCUAGUUGGUGAGGUAAUGGCUCACCAAGGCGACGAUCGUUAGCUGGUCUGAGAGGACGAUCAGCCACACUGGGACUGAGACACGGCCCAGACUCCUACGGGAGGCAGCAGUGGGGAAUAUUGGACAAUGGGGGCAACCCUGAUCCAGCCAUGCCGCGUGAGUGAUGAAGGCCUUCGGGUUGUAAAGCUCUUUGGUCGGGGACGGAUGAUGACGGUACCCGCAGAAUAAGCCCCGGCUAACUCGUGCCAGCAGCCGCGGUAA
rnacentral:rRNA from 1 species